rnacentral:rRNA from 1 species
GUGGGGAAUAUUGGACAAUGGGCGAAAGCCUGAUCCAGCCAUGCCGCGUGUGUGAAGAAGGUCUUCGGAUUGUAAAGCACUUUAAGUUGGGAGGAAGGGCAGUAAGUUAAUACCUUGCUGUUUUGACGUUACCGACAGCAUAAGCACCGGCUAACUUCGUGCCAGCAGCCGCGGUAAUACGAAGGGUGCAAGCGUUAAUCGGAAUUACUGGGCGUAAAGCGCGCGUAGGUGGUUUUGUAAGUUGGAGGUGAAAUCCCCGGGCUCAACCCGGGAACUGCCUCCAAAACUGCAUGACUAGAGUACGGUAGAGGGUAGUGGAAUUUCCUGGGUAGCGGUGAAAUGCGUAGAUAUAGGAAGGAACACCAGUGGCGAAGGCGACUACCUGGACUGAUACUGACACUGAGGUGCGAAAGCGUGGGGAGCAAACAGGAUUAGAAACCCUUGUAGUCC